CCUCCCAACUAAAUUUUCAACAACUACAUUCAUUUAUUCACAAUUUUUCUAGUAAAGAAAAUAAAAUCUACGUCCUAUAUCAAGACAAAUGUAUAAGAAUGAAAUUUAUACUGUUUUGGGGGUGCAUCCCGAAUACAACGACUGUAAUUUCCAUUUACUUAUCAAGACAGUCAAAUCUCGAGCCUGUUAAUUUCCUCCAAUCUAAUUCCAUGCAUUCAUUUUAAUUUAUGACCUGUGCUGUUUUACAUGUUUUACAGUACCCUUCUCUGCAUUCAGGAAACAGUAGCGGAGACAUCUAAGAUUAUAACUAACAAAAGACGAGCAAGUCUUCCUAGAUACACAAGCACGAAGGAAUGAGAAAACAUAUAUUAUUAAAUUGCCCAUUUGAAAUAAGAAAAAAAGAGGUGGAAACUACGACCCUUCGUGGAGUUUCAUGCAACCGCACUGCUAUCGUCAAAAGAGUCAAGAUUCUUCGAAGCCACAAGCUUCACGUCUUCUCGCCGAUGAAGAGGGAAAUGGGUAUUAAAAGAUUCGAAGCACAUUGUCCGUCUCCUGGCAUGGAAGUAGUCACAUUUCGUUCACACCAGAUAUUUUUUGUUUUCCACGGUUGCAUACACCGUGUUAUCCUUUGUAUUUGUGACAGGUGAACAGCUACGACCACGAAGGCACGUGACUGGGCUUUGAGGAAUGGAGUUGGAGGGACAGAAGACCCAACUGCUUUUGACUUGCUACUGGGGGAGCUGAGGAUUAGCACGCAUCUCCCAACGCCCACGAGACAAAACUGGCGUCUUUGCAACGAAAAAGCCUCUCACGAUUAGCCACCGUGGGAGCGAGGAUUCCUCCGCCAUGGUGGCAAAGGAGAGCCUCACCGAAGCAAAUGCUGCAGUGUAGACACGGCAAACGCUCCUCUCCUCCCCCAAGGAACUCGUUGGAGAAGAGAGCAAGCACAAACAAAUAUAUUUACACGAAGCACGUUUCCGGAUGCGCCUUGCAGGGAUCAAUCAUUGGCGUCUCGGAGUCUACGCCCAACUCGGACGAACGAUCGUCAGCCGACACAUCCUUCUCCGUCAAUGAAGCCUUGUGCUCUCGGUUGCAGGUGAUGGCGUCCCAGUCGAUGCUAUGCAUACCCGGUGUUGAUGGGGCGGAUAUCAAACGUUUUCAUCGCCCUCGGGUGGGGGCGUCCCAGCCGAUGAUGCUGUGCAUACCCGGGCGUUAUGAUGCGGUGGAUAUCAAACAUUUUCAUGGCCCUCUUGUGAGUAGUUUUAAUUUUUAACUUUUUAAUUUAAUUUUAUUUUUAAGCUUUGCAAUUGACAGUUGAUAGGGUUUCUAUUUGUUGUGUCUUUUAUGGAACUGGGAUGUGGUGUGGUGGAGAUAUAGACUUGUAGGAGGGGAGCCUACAUGUGGUCACAUAGUCAUGCAGAAAUCAAUAUCAAUGUCUCUGUUUUUUGUUCCGUGCUUCUUGUUAUGUUUUAUUUUAUUUCAUUUGCUGGGUUUGUCCAGACUCUUGGCUAUCACACACUGUGCAGUAGUCAAUCAUAAUCUGGAGAUUUUAAGGGUGCAAAAGUGAAAGCUGGUGAUUUCUUAAUUGGCAGUCUAACUGAUGCUGACCUUCAAUGGAUAGAAGAACCAAACCUGACCAUAAUUUAAACAAAAUUAAAGUGAACUCCAUCACAGACUCACAUUACUGUCCAUGUAAAAUUCACAACACUUUUGAAUAUCACAUUCUGUGCUUGCUUGAGACAACACAAACCACUGAAGAUUAUUUGGUGACACUGACUUGUAUUUAUAAGAGUGCCUUCAUCUUUUGUUAUACUAAUACGCUACCAUGAUGCAAACAGACAAAAAGGUUCCAUGGAUGUUGCGGGAUUAGAGUUAGACAGGAGAGAUGCUUUAUGCUCUGCAACCUAUUCAAAUGAAUUGGUUUGGGUUUAGUUUAUUUUUUCUUCUACUUCAUGUAGAUUUGUUGAGGGAGCUUCUGACUGUGAAAUUUUAUAAUGCUCCUGGUCCCCAAUGGUCCUAAACAGUCCAAAGGGUUGGAAGAGUGACAGGUUGGUACUGUACAGUGGGCAGUUCAAAUCCUAAUAGUGGGUGGAUCUAGAGAACCCCAUUGCAAAAAUUAUGUUAGAGCAUUUCCAGAUGGAAAUUGAGUUCCACAGGAUAAAGCCAAAUUGUAUGUGUUUGGGAUUGAAAGGGACCAACCCCCAAUACCAGUGUAUCCUUUUCCCAUGAGGUUUGGCCACUAUGAAAGCAGCAUAGAUAAUAGAAAAAUUGAGGGGUGAUGUGGAAAAACACCACACAAACGUUCAAAGCCACUUCUUUUUACCUGAAACCAAAACUAUAAAAUAACAAUAAUAAUUUUUACUACUAUGGGGUUAUUACAGUGAGGCCUAGCUGGGAGCAGCUUUUUUUCAGUUUUGAUAUCUGUUGACCACAACUGUAAAAAAAUAAUAAAUAAAAAAAUACAUAUUAAAUGUGAAUGUUGAUAAAAAAUAAUGAAAUGUGAUGUUUAACUUGGUAUUGGGCCAAAGCAGCGUCCCAGUAACAGUCUUCAGGAUUCCUCUGCAGCUUCCAAAGACUAGAAACAAACAAACAAAAAAAACAAAACAAAACGAAACAAAGCCACAAGCAUGGCAACAGGGAAGCAACAAUUGGAUUUGGAGUUCAUCAAAUUCUGCCAAAUGCUGCACCAAUGUGAGAAAAUUGUGCUCCACAACUUUGUAAUUAAAUCUUUAUUUCUUAAAGCAAAAGAUGGCAAUGGCACAACACAUAUUCAAGUUUUGGAACUUUCAUAAAUCUAGGGAAGGAUACAAAGCAAGUUUUAGGUUGAUCAGUUAAUACAAAAAAUUCUCUUCCAAGCUUA